CGCAACGAGCGCAACCCUUAUCCUUUGUUGCCAGCGGUCCGGCCGGGAACUCAAAGGAGACUGCCAGUGAUAAACUGGAGGAAGGUGGGGAUGACGUCAAGUCAUCAUGGCCCUUACGACCAGGGCUACACACGUGCUACAAUGGCGCAUACAAAGAGAAGCGACCUCGCGAGAGCAAGCGGACCUCAUAAAGUGCGUCGUAGUCCGGAUUGGAGUCUGCAACUCGACUCCAUGAAGUCGGAAUCGCUAGUAAUCGUGGAUCAGAAUGCCACGGUGAAUACGUUCCCGGGCCUUGUACACACCGCCCGUCACACCAUGGGAGUGGGUUGCAAAAGAAGUAGGUAGCUUAACCUUCGGGAGGGCGCUUACCACUUUGUGAUUCAUGACUGGGGUGAAGUCGUAACAAGGUAACCGUAGGGGAACCUGCGGUUGGAUCACCUCCUU
rnacentral:rRNA from 1 species